CUUGUUCCUUGGGUGGCGAGCGGCGGACGGGUGAGUAAUGCCUAGGAAAUUGCCCUGAUGUGGGGGAUAACCAUUGGAAACGAUGGCUAAUACCGCAUGAUGCCUACGGGCCAAAGAGGGGGACCUUCGGGCCUCUCGCGUCAGGAUAUGCCUAGGUGGGAUUAGCUAGUUGGUGAGGUAAUGGCUCACCAAGGCGACGAUCCCUAGCUGGUCUGAGAGGAUGAUCAGCCACACUGGAACUGAGACACGGUCCAGACUCCUACGGGAGGCAGCAGUGGGGAAUAUUGCACAAUGGGCGCAAGCCUGAUGCAGCCAUGCCGCGUGUAUGAAGAAGGCCUUCGGGUUGUAAAGUACUUUCAGUCGUGAGGAAGGUGGUGUUGUUAAUAGCAGCAUCAUUUGACGUUAGCGACAGAAGAAGCACCGGCUAACUCCGUGCCAGCAGCCGCGGUAAUACGGAGGGUGCGAGCGUUAAUCGGAAUUACUGGGCGUAAAGCGCAUGCAGGUGGUGGAUUAAGUCAGAUGUGAAAGCCCGGGGCUCAACCUC
rnacentral:rRNA from 2 species